rnacentral:lncRNA from 1 species
UUCCUGCUUCAGGGCCCGCAUUCACCUGAUACUCCACAGCCCAACUAGUACCACAUCUCAGCUAAUCUUGGAGAUCCAACAGCUGAUGGGAGCUAUGCCUCCAGGUGAUUCUCAGGCGCUCCAGGUCUACUGUUUAGCACGAACCCAGGUAUGCAUUCAGAUCCCCCCUAAAUAAAGAAACAUUCGAACAAGCUAAGAUCGUUUCAGAGAGCUGCUUCAUUAAAGAUCAUCAGAGAAGACCUCCAUCUGGAUUCUGCUUCACUCCCUCCUGGCCUGGCAGGCAGCUGCGUCUGGCACCCUGAAGGGAAAAAAACGCUGCCUGCCUGCCUCCCUGCCAGCCAGUCAGCAGCCCUCGUGGUCAUCAGACCAACUGUUGUGGAACUUGAGUACACAUAAUCAGGUAACCCUUGCUUUACUUAGUAAUGACGUCAGAGAGCAAGACAUAGAACGCUGGCAGUCCAGGGGAUCCAACAAGAAAUUGGGAAGUGGCUACUCCAAGUGAAACUGUGCAGUAACGGAUAUGUAAAGAAAACAUAUCGUUUUAUAAAUGGUUCCGUGUUACUUGAGACUUGGGCACCAGCUGGUAACAUGAGAAUACUGUCAUAAAUAGACAAGGGGCAGGAGAUGUGGGUGUUGUACAUCCCUGGAGAGCUGUGGUGUUGGAGGAGACUGGAAAAACUGCAAAAGAAUCAGAAAAAAUAAUUCAACUUGCUGUUAAUGUCGUGUCUCUGGAGUGACGAUAAUGUCUCCACCGGGGCCUUCAUCGGAGGACCUGCAGCCUGAAAACAGGCCCCGAGUCAGCCUUUCCGGCGACCCUGUUAGCACCUAGAAGGGCUCAUGACAUCUCCCCACGGUCUCCUUGCUACUCUCUACCCAGACACUGCAGAGCCUUCCUCCAGCUCUCCCGCCGCAAGUUGGAUGUUUCAUUGGCAGCAUCACACCCCACCACAAAACAUCAAAUAGCCCCAUGAUAUUCGCAGUAAAGGCAG